rnacentral:snRNA from 1 species
UUUGCUUCAGCAGGACAUAUAAUUGGAAUAAUACAGGGUAAAUUAGUAUGGCCCCUGUGUAAAAAUGACAUCCAAUUUUGUAACAAAGCAUUCCAUAUUUUU